ACUCCUACGGGAGGCAGCAGUGGGGAAUAUUGGACAAUGGGGGAACCCUGAUCCAGCCAUGCCGCGUGUGUAGAAGAAGCCUUUUGGUUGUAAAGCACUUUAAGCGAGGAGGAGGCUUACCUGGUUAAUACCCGGGAUAAGUGGACGUUACUCGCAGAAUAAGCACCGGCUAACUCUGCGCCAGCAGCCGCGGUAAUACAGAGGGUGCAAGCGUUAAUCGGAUUUACUGGGCGUAAAGCGCGCGUAGUUGGCUAAUUAAGUCAAAUGUGAAAUCCCCGAGCUUAACUUGGGAAUUGCAUUCGAUACUGGUUAGCUAGAGUAUGGGAGAGGAUGGUAGAAUUCCAGGUGUAGCGGUGAAAUGCGUAGAGAUCUGGAGGAAUACCGAUGGCGAAGGCAGCCAUCUGGCCUAAUACUGACACUGAGGUGCGAAAGCAUGGGGAGCAAACAGGAUUAGAUACCCUGGUAGCUACGAGU
rnacentral:rRNA from 1 species